rnacentral:rRNA from 1 species
AUUGAACGCUGGCGGCAUGCCUUACACAUGCAAGUCGAACGGCAGCACGGACUUCGGCCUGGUGGCGAGUGGCGAACGGGUGAGUAAUGUAUCGGAACGUACCUUAGAGUGGGGGAUAACGUAGCGAAAGUUACGCUAAUACCGCAUAUUCUGUGCGCAGGAAAGCAGGGGAUCGCAAGACCUUGUGCUCUUUGAGCGGCCGAUAUCAGAUUAGCUAGUUGGUGAGGUAAAAGCUCACCAAGGCGACGAUCUGUAGCGGGUCUGAGAGGAUGAUCCGCCACACUGGAACUGAGACACGGUCCAGACUCCUACGGGAGGCAGCAGUGGGGAAUUUUGGACAAUGGGGGCAACCCUGAUCCAGCCAUGCCGCGUGAGUGAAGAAGGCCUUCGGGUUGUAAAGCUCUUUCAGCCGGGAAGAAAUCGCAUAGGCUAAUACCCUGUGCGGAUGACGGUACCGGAAUAAGAAGCACCGGCUAACUACGUGCCAGCCGCCGCAGUAACAC